GACGAACGCUGGCGGCGUGCUUAACACAUGCAAGUCGAGCGGUAAGGCCCUUCGGGGUACGACGAGCGGCGAACGGGUGAGUAACACGUGGGUGGACCUGCCUCUAGCUCUGGGAGUAAGCCUGGGAAACUAGGGUCUAAUACCGGAUAUGACUCCACGGCGCAUGUUGUGGGGUGGAAAGACCUUGUGUGGCUAGAGAUGGGCCCGCGGCCUAUCAGCUUGUUGGUGGGGUGGAUGG
rnacentral:rRNA from 1 species